UACGGAAGGCAGCAGUGGGGAAUAUUGCACAAUGGGCGAAAGCCUGAUGCAGCUAUGCCGCGUGUAUGAAGAAGGCCUUAGGGUUGUAAAGUACUUUCAUCGGGGAGGAAAAAACAAAACUAAUAAUUUUAUUUCUUGACGUUACCCGAAAAAGAAGCACCGGCUAACUCCGUGCCAGCAGCCGCGGUAAUACGGAGGGUGCUAGCGUUAAUCAGAAUUACUGGGCGUAAAGAGCACGUAGGUGGUUUUUUUAAAGUCAGAUGUGAAAUCCCUGGGCUUUAACCUAGGAACUGCAUUUUGAAACUGAAAUACUAGAGUAUCGUAGAGGGAGGUAGAAUUCUAGGUGUAGCGGUGAAAUGCGUAGAUAUCUGGAGGAAUACCUGUGGCGAAAGCGGCCUCCUAAACGAAUACUGACACUGAGGGUGCGAAAGCGUGGGGAGCAAACGAGGGAUUAGAUACCCG
rnacentral:rRNA from 1 species